UGGCUUUCCUCACCUCUCUUGUUUCAGCAUGACGUGCAUGUUUCAGGAUUUCUUUCACUCGGUUGUCAGCCCAUCCUCCAAUCAGGGUUUGGUUGAGCCCCUGAGGACUUCAGAUCUCAAACCAGGGACCAGACAGGACUUUAGGACAGCUUCAAACGGUGUCUCUCUGAGUGUCUCGUAUGAGC